ACCAAAACUAGCUCUCCCCAUAUCUGUCUCUGCGCUGCCGGCUUCGGUGGAGCUACCUGUGCUGAUGCUCCGACUUGUACUGCUGACGAUAACUGCGAAAAUGGCGGCUCGUGCAACAAAACUGCAACGCCUUACGCAUGUGCAUGUGCUACUGGUUACACAGGAGACACUUGUGAUACGAGAUCUGGGUCCGUGCAGGUGACGUUCAUCAUCAAAUCAUUGUUGCUGACAACGUUUCUCAGUGUGCUCCUCAAGUAAUACGAUUUCCGUCUUUAGCCCACUGGAUGUGUGUUCUGUGUCGUAAUCUUUGUCUUCACGGAUACGUAUUCUGACGCGUUAGUUGCCACCUUGCGUAAAUAAUACCCAGAUAUUCGAAGCAGAUACUUGCUAUGAUCAAAAGACAGCAAAUACGUAAUGUUAAUUAUUUAUUUCAUUGUGUGAAAUACGUUUUUUCUAUUACAGUUAAAAACUGAUUUUUUAAUUACCCAUUAAAGAUGUAACCAUCGGUAAUUAUGUUUCAUAGACAUUUCUCAUGUUAUCACAUAGAAUGAAGCAGGGGUUUGAACGAUUCCUUCUGACAAAAUCUGAUGUUUACACAUAUUGCAGUGUGUUUUAUCAUCUCGCGUAAUAUUUAACAUUCAUUUCAGAAAAGUGGCACGGUAAUUGAAUAAUAAUUGCUUUCCUUUGAACUUAGAUUUCUAAUGCUCUGACAAAAUGUUCUGUGCCUUAAUGACGCGUUGAGCUCUUUCGAAGGUUCCGCUGAAAUAAACGACGCAGUUCAACAAUU
rnacentral:misc_RNA from 1 species